UACGUAGGCAGCAAGCGUUGUUCGGAGUUACUGGGCGUAAAGGGUGCGUAGGCGGCCCUAUAAGUAUGGUGUGAAAUCUCCCGGCUUAACUGGGAGGGUGCGCCGUAGACUGUGGGGCUAGAGUGUGGGAGAGGAAAGUGGAAUUCCUGGUGUAGCGGUGAAAUGCGUAGAUAUCAGGAGGAACACCGGUGGUGUAAACGGCUUUCUGGACCAUAACUGACGCUGAGGCACGAAAGCGUGGGUAGCAAACAGG
rnacentral:rRNA from 1 species